GUUUCCUUUUAUUUUAAAUAUACCCAUUACAGCAAUUUGUUAGGUAUGUAUAGAGCAUUGUUAUUUACAUAUCCAGUGUUUACUCUUUAGGGAUGACUCAGUGAGAGAUUUACAAGCAAUGCAGGAAAUGAGACUCUUAGAAGGAUAUAUCUUUUGCAAAAAGACUGAGAAACCUUGACAAAGUUCCAUAUACCUCCUGGGAUCCAAGUAUGCAUUUCUAAGGUUGGAUUAGAAUAAAAUGUCACUAAAUUAAAAAUAUGGCAAUAACUCCAUGUCUUUACUAAAUCCAGAAAGACUUCAAUGAGCAGGAUUCACAUUGCAAUAAGAGUUUUGAGAGAAAAGCAUUUCAGAUGUCAUGUCCUCCUUGAACAGAGUUUUAUGUAUGGAUCAAACGAGUUCUCCAAGGAGUAACUGAAUGGAUAGAUAGGUUCUGGCAUUUUGCCUUUCAUGGCUUAUUAAAACAUCAUCCAAAUUAGCUUAGCUGCCUUUAAAAAACUGUAUGUUAUGUACAUGUGAUUGCAACAACAGGAAUACAGUCAACUCCAGGAGAGUAAAGGAAAGGUCUGGGUUAUUGUUUGUUCAAUGACAUAUAUAUCAGAUAAACAUUAGAUACACCAGAGGGAAGAUCAACCUCAUUUGUAUUUAUAUGAACAGAGAAACUGUUGGCUCAUCAUAUGGGCAGAUAUUCUACUGUGUAUCAAACCUUUUUAUUGGGAAAUAUAUAUAUAUGUAUAUGCACAUUUACAUAUGUAUAUAUAUAUAUAUAUAUAUAUAUAAUAUUGGCUAUCAGAUCCCUUUACUUUUCACUGAAGUUGAUAAAAUGAUCUCACAAGAAGCUAUAUUUUAUAGAUAAAUAGGAUUACCACCAUUUUAAUGAGAUUCCCUUUUAACAAUGUAAAUAUUUCUUGAAUGAAUCAUACUAUGUUUUGGCUUCAUUCAGUUUUGAUAAAUGACUUUUCUGUACGUGACUUAAAAAAAGAAGAUUGCUUUCAAAAGUACUGCACAGAUUGUUUCUACACUGGCAGUGUCAAGUAUAUUGUUUUCCCCAAAUGUCCCUGAAAAAGCAUAUUUAUUAUUAUUAAGUAUUCUGACCAUCACUAGAAUUUACAGGCUAGAUGUCCAUAUCUAAAAAUAACCAGAUAAUUAAAGCAAAAUACCUGUGUUUGACCUGAAUGUCCCAUAGAAUGAAUUAAAAAAUAUAGUGUUGGGAUUUCUAUCUUUGGCCCAAAUGAUAUAAAUUGACUAUAUUGCUUGCUAUUUCUUUGUCAACUUUACUUUGUACUAUAUAGAUUUGGUUUCAUGUGCAUUUGUCAGUGAUAAUAAAGAAGGCUUGCUUACUUAUUCCCCCCCCCCCAAUUUUUAUUAAUGAAUUAAUUUUUGUUUUGGGCCUUUGAUUUUUGGCCAGAGAGUAAUACUUUUUUUAUUGUAGAAAAAAUUAGCUUUCAGAGAAACAAUGGAUUUGUACUAUGGAACUGAUUAAUGAGAAUUAUUUUUUGUAUUAAUAGCAAUUUGAUGCAAAACAUGUCCAACAUAGUAUUCCAAGAUAGAGAAUCUAAACAGGGUAGAAAAUUUAUCACAUUUUUCUGCAAAACUGUAUAAAGCCAAAACAACACUGAUAAUUGGUCCAUUGGCAUCAAAGCUAAUGUUUCACAUAACCAAACACUCACAAUGAGCUUUUGAAGGGUUUGAGUCAUGCACACACAUUCAAAGGAGGAGCUUGUAGGUGAUUUGGAGUUGAGUACUGGCAGUGUAUAAAUUCUCCUGAUAGAAAGAACAUGCUGAAGUCACCAGUUCUAUUUCCCCAUUGAAUAUAAACUCAAUUUGCAUAUCUCUACUACCAUCUUUCUUUUCCAACCAUUCUGCAUUCAAAUGUACAUUGGUUACUAAAAUAAGUACUCUAAAGGAAAAAUUGAUGCUCAAUAUAAAACAAUUAUGUCACCUUUAAGUGUGGAAAAAUACUCUACAGAAAAAUAAGUAGAAAAGUAAUUUCUGAUUAAUGUGUGGUUUUAUCUUUAUAAAAAAAAAAUCAAGAUGAAUAGUUAGUGUGCUUGGAAUGGCCCUUGCGGACAAUAUCACAAUAAUACAUUACAAUCACACAUCACAGUCAUAACACUAUUGUCACAAUGUAAUGAAAUCCAAGUCAAAAAUAUUAAUUUACAAACUGUACAUUUGGCAUCUGUUUCUAGGUAUUUUUUUCAGUAAUUGCUUUAAAAAAAAACAAAAGCAACAAAGUAGUGCAAGAUUACAGUGCAUUAACACAGCAUAGCAUAAAUACCAUCACAAUCAUUUUGAGGAUGGAAAUUGUUUUGAGCUUACUAAUUGACUAGAUGAGUUCUUAAUCUUUUCUUUUUUUGUGAGUUGGACCCUUUUGACAGUCUGAUGAAGCCUUUAGAACUUUUCUCUAAAAGUUUUAAAUGCAUAAAAUAAGAUACAUAGACUCGCAAAAGAAAAUAUAGAUAAUUAUCAAUUGAAAUCAUUGAAAUAUAAUAAAUACCUAGGCUAGAACAUGGUGACAUAGAAUUCCUAAAUGUUACACAGCCUUGCCUUGGUAGAGUGUGAACCAAAUUACUAAGCUAUAUAAAAUCUUAAUAUUCUGUGAUUAUGGGAAAUAAAGAUGAAUGAAAUACAUGGAUAACCAUUAAGCUUCAUGUGACCAUGAAUUCUAACUUUCCAUUGCCUUUCUUUUAUCAAAGUUUCAAAGUUGUGGCAAAAUUAAGUAAAUAUCACCAUCUUUCCCUUAUGACAGACGCCUGAAGGUUUGAUAACAUAAUCACAAUGUAGAUAGAAAAUAAAAAAAAGAUAAGUAAAAGUCCUUGAUUGGUCCAGAAAUUAGUCAGCUUCCCCAUAUGCAUUUUUAAAUGUACGGACAUAACUAAAAAUAAGAUCAUAAAAUUAGAGCUGGUAAGGAUGUUAGAGAUCAUUAAGCCCUCAGUUUCUUCUAUUUUUAUAAUCAAGUAAACUGAGGUACAAUAUUCCAAGGUAGCAAAAGAGCAGAGCCAGCAUUUGAACACAGGCCAUCUCAAAUUCAUCUCUUUGUAUGGUUAUCAUCCAUCAUCUCAUUUAUUUUUAUCCCCUUUUUCCUUCUGCUUUCACUCCCAACACACGAAUGCCUUUUGCAGAUGGACAGGGCAAACUUAGGCCUAACUAUGAACCCAGAAAGAUUGGUUUAUUCAGAUUUACUUAUCCCUGAACUAUUUAAAUCAUCAUGUGGUCUUUCUAUUAGUAUUUGCCAAAGCAGACUAGGAUAUGAAUCAUAGAAUUUGCUAUAUUUCUUGUGGCAGAAGAAUGAUAGAAUUUUAUAUUAGCUUUGGAAAGGCCUUAGAGAUCAUUUAAUGUAAUUCUAUAAUUUUACAAAGAAGAAACUACAUACUAUAGAGGAGCUAAGUCACUUGCCCAAAGUCAUAUAGUGCGUCAAUUGGUAAACCAAACAAAACAGAAAGAGGUAUUAUCACUACUAACCCAGUUUUUUUUUUUCCAUUAAUCGAAGUAUGAUUAGAAUUUGUAGUAAUUUAUUGCCAUAAGUUCAGAAAGAGGGAUGAAAACAUUACAUUGCCUAUGUCUCUGUACUUUUUAUGCAUGGCUAGACUAGUCUUUUCCUUUCAAUUGUUUUGGUUGAGCAAGUAAAAUGCAAUGAGUAACUAGACAUACAAUGUGAAAAAAUUUAGGGUCAGUCUAAUUUUUUUUUUCAAAUAAAGAAAUUAAGAGUUUCAUCCAUUGGCUUGAGAAAAUAUGAAUACAUUGGCAAAAUACUAAUUGAUCUUUGGAUGCAUUAGAUAUAGUGUAAUAUUUAAUAGAAUUUUAUUGAGUAUUAUUGCCAGAAGGAAUGCAAGAGAGUAACUUUGUAUUUUGCAGAUGAAGCCAGUGAGGCUCACAAAGAUUAAGUAACUUGGUCAAAUGAACAUAAAAAUAGAUUGGGAUUUUACUGGACUAGAGCCUGUCUCUUGACUUCUAGUCCAGAGAUUUCCACCAUGCCUCUCUGCCUUUUUCUGUCUUUCUCCUCAUUUUUAAAAUGACUUUGUUCUAUCCCUGAAUUUCUCCACUUUUCACUUUCUAAAAAAUUUCCUACCCAAAGAAGUUUGAGUGAUGCUAGAAUUAAUCCAUGACUCAUUACAAUGAGUCAGAUUCAUCUCAAGAAUAACCCAUAAAUAUAGUUUGACCUGCCGCAUGACCUGACACCAUGCUUACUAUUUGCUUAGACAUUUAUUGAAAAGUCUUAUACAGAAUAGAGAAAUAUCAUUUUUUAUUUCAGUAAAUUGGCACAAAUGCUGACAUAACAUUAUUCUCUGCACAAAUAAAACAUAAUGAAGAAUUAGUACUUGUGAAAGAUGCCAUAAGAUAUUGUUGAUUCUAGAGACAGAAAUCUUUUAGUCCAGAAAUAAAACCUGAGUAUUUUUUUCUGCCUUUCUUAUAUCACCAUGGCAGAUAACUUCAAAUAGUAUCUCUAAAUGAAGAGCUGUCUUUAACAUAAUGAAGAUUAAAUCCAAACUAAAAUAUUUUCUUAUCUAAAUGGUAUAACUUGGCUUCAGACAUGUUGUUCAUGUCCUUGGAUGAAUUCUUUCAUGAAUGCUACUUACAACAAUAUUUAAGAUACAUAAAUCUGUUCUCUCAAAAGUGGAGCUCCUAUUCCUUUUAUACCCAGCUAAUCAGACAUUUUGUACUUACUCAAGGACUCUUAAAGUGAAAAACCCAAAUAGUUAAGUCCUCUUCAUUAUAGGUCACUGGAAUCACUUUUCCCUCUCUAAAUGAUAGUAAUCUCUUCUUUGGCAAUCUCUCAUUAGAAGACAAUACUAUCUCCUGAUUGUCUUAUCUACAGCAUUGAUGAUAGUUAAUAAGGUCAAUAUGAGCUUGAACACUUCUAUAAUAGCUUGAGCAAUCUUUAAAAGCAAUUUCUGCUGAGCCUGUUUUAUCCUUUUCCUUACUCAUCAAUCACAAAGGAAUACAAUCACAUGUACAAGUUACCAUACAUAUAUAAUAUGCCUUUUUGUAUAUAUCACUUUUUUAGAGAAAUUCACUUCAACAAAAGGAUCUUGUCCAAAAUGAAAUUCCAAGAAACACUUGGACACACUAUACAUUCACAAAAAGUAUAGUGCCCAUUUUGACUGAAACAAUGCUUAUUUGAAAAAGAUUUUUCAAAGUAUAUUUUCACUAUCAUUUUGUAUUUCUAAGGUCAUUCCUUUUUUUUGACCUUAUACACAUUUAGAUAACUAUUCCCCCAAGAUAUCUCCCUUAUUUUGCCAAAUGUCAAACUACCUCUUCAAAGAUUUUUUAUUUCUAUAGUAUACAUUAUCAAUAUUAAUAUCCUAUUAUGUUACUCAAAAUCAAAGUAAUAUUAUUAGGACUUGUUUGAUAACUACAUUAUUUUUGUGUCCUAAACUAAAUUCAUCUGAAAUACUUUAGAAUUUUACAUUUAACUUCAGAUGUCAAAGCACUAUCACUAUAUAUUUUUUUUAACUCCAUAAAAAGGAUAUAUCAGAUUAGUUUUUAACUGGCUUUCAUUGAGUCAACAGGUUAACCUGAUUUUGUGUUAUAUAAAGAGAGGGAAAAUGAUGCCUAUCUUGUUCCUAAAAAAAAAAACAGUUGAAUGAUAUCACCCAAGAAGAAUCCAAUAACAUUGCCCAUAUCCAUUUUAUUUAUGAAAUUCAAAAGUCACUACUUUUGUGAUGUUUAUUUCCUUUCCUCUUUGGUUUGCUAACCUUCAAAUGUCUUCCUCAAGCUAUCUUUUUAUUAUCUAAGAAAAAUUUUAAAGAAAUAAUUAAGAAUAUUUAGUUAACUUUUAAUUAUCUGUAUAUGUGAGCUACUUUAAAGCAGAUUAUAAAAAAAAAAAAUACUGCUUACCAGGGAUUCUUAACAGUCAUUGUAUACAGCCCAUGUGUUUUAUCAUGGGAUGGCACAUCACAAAAACGGAGGUGGAAAGUAUCAGAGAUCAUCUAGUUUAGCCCCCCUCCCCCCAGUUUUUAGGUGUUAAAAACUCAGUUUCAAAAGGGAGAAAUCAUUUACCCAAGGGUAUCUAUCUAUUGAAGAGAAAAGCCAGUAUAAGAAUCAGUUGGAUACCCAGCCCAAAGCUCUGUCUGCAACAACUUCAGUGUUCCUUUUUUGACUAUUCAUGAAGUCAUUGGUUGAGGAAUGAUUUUACCAAGUUUUAAAUUUGAAAGGAUCUUGUAGAGGAAGAAAUUGUGAACCAUAAGGGGUGACUUAUCCAUAGCAAUACUACUAAAGCCAAAAUCACUGGAAGGUUUUAUUAAACUACCCCAUAGGACUGAUAGUGACGGUGGUCAUGAAAUUAUAUAUAUUUUCAUAGCAUCUCUAUAGUUCACCUGAGAAAUGCCUUUAAAAAUGCUAUAUUAAUUAUUGAGUCAGAUUGUGUAAAAUGGCAACAAAAAUGUCUAAAUAAAAGCCUUCAUGGAAAUACUGAAUACCAAUCUCUCUGACUACCUGAAUUUAGCAAUAAAACAUAUAUAGUUGAGUCAAGUAAGAGGUGACUUGCCUUUUUUAAUGUGCACUAUUUAUAUGAUAAUAGAGAUGCAGCAUGGGUAGGGAUUAUAGUAAUUAUAGUAUUACAGUAACCAUCUUGUCCAAUCUUUUCAUUUUGCAGAUGAAAAAAAUGAGCGAUUUGAUAAAGAUAACUAUGGAAAGAGUACUGGAAAUGAAAUCAGGAAGAUUCAAGUUCAAUUCUGCCCUCAGAUACUUAGCUGUAUAAUCCAUGACAAUUAAUUUAAUCUCUGCCUUAGUUUCCUCAUCUGUAAAAUGGGGGAUAAUAAUAGCAUUUUUCCCCAGGGCUCUUAUGAGGAUUAAAUUUGUAAAGUGUUUUGUAAACCUUAAAGCACUAUGAGUGCUUGCUAUUAUUAGCAGCUAUUUUUAAUCUACAAAGUCAUGAUAUGAACCAUAUUCUUUCCUUUGUAUCAUACUGUUCAUUAAAAUUGUCCUAUCUUGAACAACAUUUGUGUAUUAUGCAUUUCCAAAGUUCUUUGAAUGCAUGUGACUGGUAUUACUUUGUGAAAAGAGUUAUUCUGUUUUAAUAGUAUAUAGUUCAAACAUUAUGAAUCUCAGGCUUUUUUCGGGACUUCAUAGAAUUAGCUCCCUCUUUGUUUUCAGAAUAUCAUGGUGGUAAAAAGGUAGUUUAAAAGACCUACUCCUUAUUUCUGCCUCAAGAAGGGCAAAUAGAGUCGAUCCUCUUAAAAUUGGUGUCUUAACCACCCUCCUUCAUAAAUCUUUUCUAUUACUAUGUCAUAACUUGUAUAGACAGCUAGGUGAUACAGUAGAUAGAGUACUAGGCUUUGAAUCAGGAAGACAUGUUGAAUUCAAAUCCAGCCUCAAACACUAUCUGUAUGACCCUGGUAAAGUUACUUAAACCCCAUUUGAUUCAGUUUCCUCAUCUAUAAAUGGGCUCGAGAAGGAAAUGGCAAAUCACCCCAGUAUCUUUGCCAAGAAAACUCUAAAUGAGGGAUCACAAAGCAUGGGAUACAAUGGAAAAUGCUAAACAGUUUGUGUAAUAUGGGAGUAUAUAUUAUUAUACUCUAAUCACAUAGUAGGGGAAUUCAAAAUAAUCAUUCAGUACCCAUAUGUAGGUAAGACAAAUAUAGUAUUUUAGUCAUCAUUCUGAAGAGUUUUAGCAAAACCUAGACUAUCUACAGGCAAGAGUUGAUUUCAGGCUCCCAGGGCAUUGAUUGACCAAAUGGAUACAUAAUAUUAAAUAAAAUGUGAAAUUUUACUUGCAUUUAGUGCAUAUAGAUCAGAACUGUGACAUUUCAUUUAAAAAAAUCCUCUGAAGAAAUGAAAACUCAUUCUAUAUCCUUCCUGAUCCAAAGAAGAAAUCUGUAAGCUGUUUUAUUAUUUAAAGUCAUGUAAAAUAUUAAGCAUUUUACAUUUACUGAAAUUUCUUUGUGUUUAGUAGAUCUCUGAGAAGGCUCUAAAUUGAGAAUGUCUUAUUAGAAAAGAGAUGAAAUAUAACUUCUGAACCACCAACAAAUGUUUAGUUCUCUUCUCAGUACUUCUUUCUACCUUUCUUUAAUAUCCUGAUAGGCAGUUUGAAAAAUGGCAGUCAAAUGGCUAUUCCUACCUAACAUUCUGAUGUCCUCAUAAAGCUUUUGCAAGAACCUGAAAUGCUGAGUAAGGACAGGGGAGGCUGAAAGUCAAAGAAAUAAAUGCCUGGACCAGUAACUCCUAUAUGCCCCACCACUUGAGCUGGCUCUUAAAGUGCCAUUGGGCUUUCUAAGGCUCAGCAAUAGAUAAUAUUAUCCAAUAUUCUGUUUUAGCACUGGUACUUUUUUAGUAGAGAUAAGUGUUUUAGGUUUACAUUGGUCUUCAUUUCCAAUUUUGUUUUUUGGCAGUUUAGACUUAAGUCUAUCAAAUUUAUGUCUA
rnacentral:lncRNA from 1 species